rfam:Microgenomates (Gottesmanbacteria) bacterium GW2011_GWC2_39_8 TT63_C0090, whole genome shotgun sequence.
ACCGUUUUUAAUCUCCCGAACCAUUGCUCCUAAAUCUUGUAAUGAUGGGACAUGGAGAAUGGUCGUUAGGUAUUUUGAGAAAUCGAAAUACCCCCCAUGCUCGGAAAGGUGAGAUUAAAGCUUUAUAUA